CAGUGUUUCUUUAUUGAUUACACUUUUUAUUAUACUAAACAAAGUUAUUUGCAUGGCAGAAUUUGGAAUAAUUCUAUUUCGAACUCAAAGUUUAUCGAUAAAGGCAGUUUAGUUCUAUAUUAAAAGAACACUUUAAAACGUUUUACGAAGCGUUUGUGGUUGAAUUUUACCUUAAAUUGAAGCUUAUAUUACCAUAGGCUGCCCAAAAGUGCGUGUUGUAAUUUUUACCCUCGCGCGUGGCGCUCGGGCAUGCAUCGAGUCUACUCGGUUUAUUAUUAUGACAAGGUUGGCAAGACUUUUAACGGAAAUUUAUUACAACGUUUACUAGAGUAUGUUGUACACGAUUCCAGUACAACAGCAAAUCAGCGCUUCUUCAAGAUUUAAAAAAUAUGACAUCACCACAGGGUACGUGACCCCAGCAUAGUUUUGACAAAAUUU